AUUGAACGCUGGCGGCAGGCCUAACACAUGCAAGUCGAACGGUAACAGGAAGAAGCUUGCUUCUUUGCUGACGAGUGGCGGACGGGUGAGUCAUGUCUGGGAAACUGCCUGAUGGAGGGGGAUAACUACUGGAAACGGUAGCUAAUACCGCAUAAUGUCGCAAGACCAAAGAGGGGGACCUUCGGGCCUCUUGCCAUCGGCUGUGCCCAGAUGGGAUUAGCUAGUAGGUGGGGUAACGGCUCACCUAGGCGACGAUCCCUAGCUGGUCUGAGAGGAUAACCAGCCACACUGGAACGGAGACACGGUCCAGACUCCUGCGGGAGGCAGCAGUGGGGAAUAUUGCACAGUGGGCGCAAACCUGAUGCAGCUAUGCCGCGUGUAUGAAGAAGGCCUUCGGGUUGUAAAGUACUUUCAGCGGGGAGGAAGGGAGUAAAGUUAAUACCUUUGCUCAUUGACGUUACCCGCAGAAGAAGCACCGGCUAACUCCGUG
rnacentral:rRNA from 1 species